GUGCUAACUUAGGCAGCACAUCUGCUAAAACUGGAAUGAUACAGAGAACAUUAACAUGACCCCUGCACCAGGACGACAUGCAAAUUCACGAAAUGUUUCUUAUUUUU